UCCCUGGAAGACUAGCGGCUGGACCUCAGCGCUCUCACCGCCGCGGCCCGGGUUCGAUUCCCGGCCAGGAAA